AUGAAGCUGAAUGUUGGAAGAUUCAAGGCAGACAAAAUAAAAGCCCUCAAGAAUGAUGAUAAUAAUAAUAAUAUUUUUUUUAUUAGAUUUUCCACAAUGAUAACACAAACCACAAAGCAAAAUGAUACACAAAAACAGAAGAAAACAGAUAAACAGAUAAACAACAACAACCAACUUAAUUCUUCACAAAUCCAACCUUUUGAACAUCUUGGUUGACUUCCUCAAAUCCCUCCCUUCUGAGUUUCCUUGUAAUUAAAAGUAGCAGCUUUCCAAUAUCAUUAUUAAACUAAAACAAUUUCCAAUUUUCGUCCAUCUUAUUCACUUUUCUUAACAUUCUAAAUCCCAUUUAUUUAAUUACAACUUAGUUUAAUCAUAGGCCUAUUUGUUUCUUUCAAGUAAUUUCUAAUUUUUUAUCUUACAAUAUUGAUUCAAAUAGUCCUUGAAUUUCCUCCAGUCCUCUUGAAACUCCUCUUCUUUCUGGUCGCGGAUUCUUCCAGUCAGGUCAGCUAGCUCCGAAAAGUCCAUCAUCUCCAACGCCCAUCAUCCUUGGCCAUCAGCCAUGCUUUGUUGGGGCUGAUGGGAGUUGUAGCCCAACAGAAAGUAGAGGGCCACACGUUCUUCACUGGUUGCUCUAUCCUGAUCGGCGCAGCUCUUCUCCUUUGCCCUGGAUAACACCCCUUCUUUCUGCAUUGUUUGUUCCACCUUCCUUUUCCUUAAAUGCAGCCUAUUACAGCUUUGGAUUUCGAUGGGUUGUCCUGCACGCCCCAGACACCACUUCGUCAGCGUUUGUGUACAGUAUAAUUAUGCAGGUUUUCCCAGGGAACAUAACCACAAGUACCUAUCGCUAUCACUAAUCAAAACAUUCAGGUAGGUGGCAAUUAUCCCUGGGAAAAGAACAGUAAACCCAGGAAGGUUAAAUUUAGAGGACGUUUCUAACCACUUCAGAAGAUGCCGGAUGAAAUUGGCAACUUUCCUGUCGACUGCUGGGCACUUGCUGAGCUGUCGGAACAGUGUGUGUUGCCUGCCCUGCCCUGAGCUCCCCAUGCCGACCUGUUGGCCUCAGGGGUGGAGGGUAGGGGCAGAGGACGAAUCUGCAUUUCACUUUGUGUUUUAACUCACCAAGUCCGCAUUUUCCGAAGCACGUGAGCUAGCGCAACAGUUAUCCUUUGAAAUUUGCACUUCUCUGAAUUUUGUAAUUCUCAAGCGAAAUGUGUAUACUAGGGGAAAGUGUGCGUGGGUAUAUUGCAGAAAAGAACAUGGAAAAAUGCAUUCUAUUAGGGUGGUUUGUGUGUGUGCAAAAAUGUGUAUAUUAUGCAAAAUUGCAGAGAACUGCUCCAUAUAGUGUAGGAAUCAGGCCUUUAGUGUGCCAGCACCUAUCUUCUGGAAUACCGUCCGAAAAGUGAUUGUUUGAUCAGACUCGAUUUUCUUUCUGUUGCCUAUUGAAGACCUUCCUUUUAAAAACAAAACAAAACUGAAGCCUUUAAACUAGA
rnacentral:lncRNA from 1 species